UACUCAAUGAAUGAAGUGACAACCACGUUUGAAAUCACUUGAACAUCAGCAACGAGACAAUCAAGGUCUACUGCAACUAAAGUUAAAAUCGUUUUUGAGAUUUGUUACAUGUUUUACAUUCUGUUAAUUUCGUUAAGUUAAUUGAAGGGGUGCACAAGUUUUCUUUAGUUAUUUAAGUACUUGAUUUCUACGUGAUUCACAUUGUUUCCUAUUAUGUCACCGCCAUGCUUCCUGAACGUGAUGAUUCAGUUGUGGGAGAUGUAACUUCAUGAAACAAGCUCUGGAGAUUUGACAUGGUUGUGCGUCUACCUGUCUCAUGCUGUGAAGAAAAAUGUAGAGGUGUGUAUCAUUUUCAAUUCUAACUCGUUUUCUUGUACAAAGUGAUGAUUUGUUAUCCCUGUCAUACAAAAUGUUGGUGACGUCUUAACAAUGGUAACUGUAAAAUUCUGAUAAUGUUAAAGUUAAAAGCGGUCAUACUCUUGUGUUUUUUUUU